rnacentral:lncRNA from 1 species
UUUUGCGGCAGCCCUGCUGGGGGAUGAGGACAACAGUACCUCUCUCGUUAGCUUUUGAAAUACUCACAUUCAAAAGAACAGGUCGCGUGGGGGGUCGGCAGAGCAGGUGAGCUGCAGCCUUGAAAUCACUGUAACUUCGUGCGGGGGGGUUGGGGGGCGGGGGGAGCCUGGGCACAACCUCGCCAUCGUCAGGAGCAACCGCGCAGUGGGAUAAACUUUGGCUGCAGCUUUGCCGCACGAGAGGGGCGGGGUUACUUGAACGGGUCCUCAGGAGAAGGAGAUUGGCCCCGGGGGAAUCGAGGGGGCGGGACUAGCCCAUUGUUGCCAUUGGUCCUGAGGGCCAGUUGAGGGAUGGCAGCGAGGGGGCGGAGCCGGCCAGAGGAGGCAAUUGGUUUGGCGAGAGCCCACCGAGGGGAGCGGGCGGGCGGGCGAUUCCGCAGCCGGGAGCCGGGAGCCUGGGGCCGGGAAGCCGCGCCGCGGCCAGCCCGCUAGGGCCGCAGCGGGGCGAGGGGUGCACGGGGCGUUGGCACGGGGGCACGCGCGUGCGUCGCUGACUUGGAUGCGGCGGGGACGCUUGUGCGCGGGGUGCGCUCGACGCGAGCCAUUCAACAGCUGGCCUCGCGGGCCACAGUCGCAGGGAGCGACCGGGAGCGUUGGCGGUUGCGACUGCGGCGGCUGGAGAGAGGCGGCGGGAGUUCCGCCACCCCAGCGGGGACCCGAGUGGAGGCGCGGCGGCUCCUUAGACUCCCGGGUUCCCCCAUCGUACACUGGUGUGAAGAGAGUGGACCCUGACUGGAUUCGUGUCUCAUCUCCAGCAUCAGAAGGAAAGGUGAGGAGCUGAGAGCAGGGACUGUGAAGGUGGCGGUGUGGGGGAAGGGGAGAGGCUGUUUCUCUCUGUCACUGGCUCUGGCUCUGUGUGGCUCUUCCCGGCAUGCAUUUCUGCUGCUGCUCAAGAGGGGGACUUCUACAGAGUCGUUUCAGAGCCAGGGUUGUGUUACUUGUGCAACUCUCGGAUGUCGUGUCCGCUUGAG